rnacentral:rRNA from 1 species
GCGGUUUGGGAUCAUUAUGCCAGCAUCCUUGAUAAAAUCGCAGUCCUCGGUCUAGGCAGGCAGCAUCAACGCAGGCUAUAACACUUCACCGAAUUAAAGUCACAUUCCUACGCCAUUAUCCUACCGCCCAAACCGAUGCUGGCCCGAUAAGCUGCGGGUCACCCCGCCACGAAGGCAAGGCUCACAAAAUAUCGAGUCUGAUCUCAAACCCUUCCCUUUCAACAAUUUCACGUACUUUUUCACUCUCUUUUCAAAGUUCUUUUCAUCUUUCCAUCACUGUACUUGUUCGCUAUCGGUCUCUCGCCAAUAUUUAGCUUUAGAUGGAAUUUACCACCCACUUAGAGCUGCAUUCCCAAACAACUCGACUCUUCGAAAGCACCUUACAUAGAAUUGGGCAUCUCAUCGCACGGGAUUCUCACCCUCUGUGACGUCCUGUUCCAAGAAACAUAGACAAGAGCCAACCCCAAGGUUACAAUCUUCAAAUUACAACUCGGACACCGAAGGCGCCAGAUUUCAAAUUUGAGCUUUUGCCGCUUCACUCGCCGCUACUAAGGCAAUCCCUGUUGGUUU